UGCCAGCCGCCGCGGUAAUACGGGAGUGGCAAGCGUUAUCCGGAAUUAUUGGGCGUAAAGCGUCCGCAGGCGGCCCUGUAAGUCUGCUGUCAAAACGUGGAGCUCAACUCCAUUUCGGCAGUGGAAACUACGAGGCUUGAGUGUGGUAGGGGCAGAGGGAAUUCCCGGUGUAGCGGUGAAAUGCGUAGAUAUCGGGAAGAACACCAGUGGCGAAGGCGCUCUGCUGGGCCAUAACUGACGCUCAUGGACGAAAGCUAGGGGAGCGAAAGGGAUUAGAUACCCCUGUAGUCCUAGCCGUAAACGAUGAACACUAGGUGUCGGGGGAAUCGACCCCCUCGGUGUCGUAGCUAACGCGUUAAGUGUUCCGCCUGGGGAGUACGCACGCAAGUGUGAAACUUAAAUAAAUUGACGG
rnacentral:rRNA from 1 species